rnacentral:rRNA from 1 species
AGUGAACGCUGGCGGUAGGCCUAACACAUGCAAGUCGAACGGCAGCACAGUAAGAGCUUGCUCUUACGGGUGGCGAGUGGCGGACGGGUGAGGAAUACAUCGGAAUCUACUUUUUCGUGGGGGAUAACGUAGGGAAACUUACGCUAAUACCGCAUACGACCUACGGGUGAAAGCAGGGGAUCUUCGGACCUUGCGCGAUUGAAUGAGCCGAUGUCGGAUUAGCUAGUUGGCGGGGUAAAGGCCCACCAAGGCGACGAUCCGUAGCUGGUCUGAGAGGAUGAUCAGCCACACUGGAACUGAGACACGGUCCAGACUCCUACGGGAGGCAGCAGUGGGGAAUAUUGGACAAUGGGCGCAAGCCUGAUCCAGCCAUACCGCGUGGGUGAAGAAGGCCUUCGGGUUGUAAAGCCCUUUUGUUGGGAAAGAAAAGCAGCAGGUUAAUACCCCGCUGUUCUGACGGUACCCAAAGAAUAAGCAGCGGCUAACUUCG